rnacentral:sRNA from 1 species
UUUAGUUUUAAAAAAAUCGAAUGACACAUGUCAUUUUCUUGUGUGAUGAUGUGUCAUUCAUAUGGAGAGAGUUGGCCAACUUUCAUAUAUAUGAUUUUUUUACAGAUGUU